UGGCUCUCGCAUCGAUGAAGAACGCAGCGAAAUGCGAUAAGUAAUGUGAAUUGCAGAAUUCAGUGAAUCAUCGAAUCUUUGAACGCACCUUGCACCCUUUGGUAUUCCGAAGGGUACGCCCGUUUGAGCGUCAUUGUAAUCUCACUUCAACAACUUUUGUUGUUUGAAUGUGGACUUGGAUGUUGCCGUGUUAUAACGGCUCGUCUCAAAUGCCUGAGUGUACCCUGUUUUGCAGCGUAUCCAGUGUAAUAAACAUUUCACUAGAGUUGGUCAAAAGACCGCGUUUUGCGAUUUGGGCUCUAUGCUUCAAACCGUCCUUUUUGGACAAACUACUUGACAAUUUGGCCUCAAAUCGGGUGGGACUACCCGCUGA
rnacentral:misc_RNA from 1 species